rnacentral:rRNA from 1 species
CUACGGGGGGCAGCAGUGGGGAAUAUUGCACAAUGGGCGCAAGCCUGAUGCAGCCAUGCCGCGUGUAUGAAGAAGGCCUUCGGGUUGUAAAGUACUUUCAGCGGGGAGGAAGGGAGUAAAGUUAAUACCUUUGCUCAUUGACGUUACCCGCAGAAGAAGCACCGGCACUCCGUGCCAGCAGCCGCGGUAAUACGGAGGGUGCAAGCGUUAAUCGGAAUUACUGGGCGUAAAGCGCACGCAGGCGGUUGUUAAGUCAGAUGUGAAAUCCCCGGGCUCAACCUGGGAACUGCAUCUGAUACUGGCAAGCUUGAGUCUCGUAGAGGGGGGUAGAAUUCCAGGUGUAGCGGUGAAAUGCGUAGAGAUCUGGAGGAAUACCGGUGGCGAAGGCGGCCCCCUGGACGAAGACUGACGCUCAGGUGCGAAAGCGUGGGGAGCAAACAGGAUUAGAUACCCUAGUAGUC